AGAAUCAACGCUGGCGGCGUGCCUAACACAUGCAAGUCGAUCGAGAAAGUGGAGCAAUCCAUGAGUAAAGAGGCGCACGGGUGAGUAACACGUGACUAACCUACCUUCGAGUGGGGAAUAAACCUGGGGAAACCCGGGCUAAUACCGCAUAAUACCUACGGGUCAAAGGAGCAAAUUCGCUUGAAGAGGGGGUCGCGGCAGAUUAGUUAGUUGGCGGGGUAAUGGCCCACCAAGACGAUGAUCUGUA
rnacentral:rRNA from 1 species